rnacentral:rRNA from 1 species
AGGAAUAUUGGUCAAUGGACGAGAGUCUGAACCAGCCAAGUAGCGUGAAGGAUGACUGCCCUAUGGGUUGUAAACUUCUUUUAUACGGGAAUAAAGUUAGCCACGUGUGGCUUUUUGUAUGUACCGUAUGAAUAAGGAUCGGCUAACUCCGUGCCAGCAGCCGCGGUAAUACGGAGGAUCCGAGCGUUAUCCGGAUUUAUUGGGUUUAAAGGGAGCGUAGGCGGGUUGUUAAGUCAGUUGUGAAAGUUUGCGGCUCAACCGUAAAAUUGCAGUUGAUACUGGCGACCUUGAGUGCAACAGAGGUAGGCGGAAUUCGUGGUGUAGCGGUGAAAUGCUUAGAUAUCACGAAGAACUCCGAUUGCGAAGGCAGCUUACUGGAUUGUAACUGACGCUGAUGCUCGAAAGUGUGGGUAUCAAACAGGAUUAGAUACCCUGGUAGUCCACACAGUAAACGAUGAAUACUCGCUGUUGGCGAUAUACGGUCAGCGGCCAAGCGAAAGCAUUAAGUAUUCCACCUGGGGAGUACGCCGGCAACGGGUGAAACUCAAAGGAAUUGACGGGGGCCCGCACAAGCGGAGGAACAUGUGGUUUAAUUCGAUGAUACGCGAGGAACCUUACCCGGGCUUAAAUUGCAACUGACUGAACCGGAAACGGUUCUUUCUUCGGACAGUUGUGAAGGUGCUGCAUGGUUGUCGUCAGCUCGUGCCGUGAGGUGUCGGCUUAAGUGCCAUAACGAGCGCAACCCUUAUCGAUAGUUACUAGCAGGUCAUGCUGAGGACUCUAUUGAGACUGCCGUCGUAAGAUGUGAGGAAGGUGGGGAUGACGUCAAAUCAGCACGGCCCUUACGUCCGGGGCUACACACGUGUUACAAUGGGGGGUACAGAAGGCAGCUACACGGCGACGUGGUGCUAAUCCCGAAAGCCUCUCUCAGUUCGGAUUGGAGUCUGCAACCCGACUCCAUGAAGCUGGAUUCGCUAGUAAUCGCGCAUCAGCCACGGCGCGGUGAAUACGUUCCCG